UCGGCUAUAUAUACAUACAAGUUGAGCAAUAACAAGUGCAAGCAUUGUACCACCACAUUUCAUCAAAUUAAGCAUCCAAACUAAACAGUAGUUAUGGCUUUUCUUGCAGUAACUUCUCUAAUGAGAACUUUAGAGUUUCAGUUCCUACACCCCCAACCACGAGUCAUUCUUUCAAACAGAGAGCAGACUGAGUCUCUUUAUGAAAAACUUGGUCGUUUCCUAGUUUUUCUUGAUAUAUUUGAGAAGAAUGCCGACAAUCUUCCGGAGAUGAGAGCAGUCAUAGAAGAAAUUAUAGAUGUGACUGUCCAGGCUGAUGAUGACAUUGAAGAGGAACUGUUGACCGGCUUCAGAACUAGUGUACUGCAGCAGCAGCCCACUGCUUCAACAAAACUUGAAGAAACCUUGCAGCGCAUAGUGGAUGACGUUGAAAAUCUGGUGCAGAUUACAAUAAACACCAGUGAGCUUGUCAACAGUAAUCUCACGGUUGGAGGCUCCUACCCACAACAUACCUCCCAUGUGGAUUUGGUCCACGAGGACACCAGUGAGGUUGUGAACAGUAAUCUCACGGUUGGAGGCUCCUCCUCACAACAUAACUCGUGUGAGGAGGAUGCAAUGGUAGGACAAUCAGAAGAGCUGGAUAAGGUAAUGAGUCAGCUCCUUGGUGGCAAAGAUAAACAACCACUCCAAGUAAUGGCACUUGUGGGCAUGGGCGGCAUUGGCAAGACAACUUUUGCUAAAAGAAUUUAUGAUGAGCCUAGAGUCAUAUCUCAUUUCGAUUUACGUGCUUGGACAACCAUGUCUCAAGAGCAUAACAAAGGACAAGCGAUCCUUGACCUUUGUUGUUGCGUCAAGCCAUCAAGCAGUGCCUUCAACAAUGAAAUGAAGGACGAUCUAGCUGAGCAACUUUGCAAAAGUUUAUCAGGCCGUAGGUACCUUAUUAUUGUGGACGACAUAUGGACUACUGCUGCCUGGGAUGAUAUCCACAGAUGUUUUCCUGAUGAUAAUAAUGGGAGCAAAAUAUUGUUGACGACGCGAGCUAAAGAGGUAGCCAAGUAUGCAGGCUCUGGUGAGUGUUCUUAUGACAUGCGUUUCUUAAAUGAAAAGGAAGGUUGGGGUUUAUUUCAUAAGAAGUUUUUGGAAAAAGAAUUACUUGAGAGAGAUGAAUUUAAAAAAGUCGGGAUGAACAUUGUUCGGAAAUGUCAUGGUUUACCAAUCACAGUUGUGGUGAUGGCAGGGCUUCUAUCUAAAACCGAUAAGUCAAUAGGUGAAUGGGAAAAAAUUGAAAAAAACUUAAAUUCUCUAUUGGCUUUAGACCUUCAUGAGCGAUUUUCAAGAAUACUCACGUUAAGUUACAACCACUUGCCUAGUCAUUUGAAGGGUUGUUUUUUGUAUUUAGGAGCUUUUCAUGAAGAUAGUGAGAUUCCAGUUAAAAAGCUUAUUAGGUUAUGGAUUGCAGAGGGAUUUGUAGAGACAAUAAGUCAUAGAAAGAAGCUAGAAGAAGUAUGUAGAGAUUAUUUGCAAGAUCUUAUUGAUAGAUGUUUAGUUAUGGUUAGUAAGAAAUGCUUUGAUGGCCAAAUCAAGACCUGUACCGUGCAUGAUCUGUUACUCGAGUUGUGCUCGAGCAAGGCUAUAAACGAGAACCUUUUGUUCCUUGAAACUACUGGUAGCAACCAUACUUUUGGUCGCUUUCUUCGAUUAAGUGAUGAGCGUUGGUUAAGUAUUAAAGUAGUAAAUACAGAUUUUCAUAUUUCCAUUUCUUCCAAGAAAUGGCGUUCCAUUUUAUGUUUUAAUAGCUCUGGUAUGAAAUGGUUUUUGCAAGCCACCUCUUUUAAGAAGUUAAUAGUGUUAGACUUGAGCAAGAUUGACUUCAAGUCAGGUGUGCCUCAAGAUAUUACAGAUCUUGUUUUCCUAAGGUACCUAGCAUUAGCCUCAAGUAUGCUUCUAAAGCAUAUACCUUUGGACAAGAAUUGGAAUCUACAGACACUAAUUAUCAGUGAAGGAGAUGAUAAGGAUGCCCACAAGCUGCUGCCUCAUGGAAUUUGGGAUAAUUUGCAACAACUAAGGCAUCUUGAAAUCAACCACAAGCUGCAGGUUUCUAUUGAUCUUCUAAAAGUUCAAGAAAACCUGCAGACACUUUAUUGGUUGUCUAUCUCACAGUGCACAGAGGAAGUGUUUAAGAGAAUCCCGAAUGUUAAAGAGUUGGGAAUAGUUGCAGGAGAACACGACAAAGUGUUGCCACAAGAUUUAAAUAACCUGUGUUGUUUAGAUUAUCUUGAGAAGCUAAGAGUUGAUGGCUCUGACCACCCUUUACACUUGCCUCCACAGCCACAGGGUCAUAUUUUCCCAAAAAACCUCAAGGAGUUGACAUUUGUGAGUACCCGCAUACCAUGGAGCGAGAUGAGUAUUAUUAGUAUGCUAUCUAAUCUGGAGGUGCUUAAACUCAAGAACUCGGCCUGCAAGGGACAGGUGUGGGAACUAACUGAGGGUCGUGGCUUCCCUCAGUUAAAAGUUCUUAUCAUUUCUGGCACAGAUUUGAAGGUGUGGAAGGCAUACAGGGACUCUCCUUUCCCUAAACUCGAGCGCUUAAAACUAAAAAAGUGCUUCGAGUUGAAAGAGAUGCCAGAUUGUUUUGAACGUAGCAUGACACUCCAAUUAAUUAAGUUGGUGUAUUGCUCUGCUUCCCUUGUUCAUUCUGCUAACAAGAUUAAAAAAGAUAUGUUUGAUGUUCUUGACUUCCAUACUCGACCAGACCGUCACCAAUCACCAUGUUGAUCCUCUAAGAAGAAGAAGGUUCUAGUGAAUAAGCUUGUAGAGAUCAGAAGAAACCUGAGUAUCCCCAUACUUUAAUGUUCUUGGAUGACAAAAAGCAGAUUCCCUGGAAAGACGAAGUAGCAACCCAAGGAGGCAGAAGCUGUUGGAGCGAAGGAAGCUCUAAAAUGGAUGAAGGAAUUAAACCGGUCUCGAUAGAAUUCAAGCAGAGAUGGACGCACUUCAAGUUCUUCAGAGCCUACAUCUACAGCAUUUAGACUUGUCCAACCCUUUGAUCUCAUCAUUAAUGACAUUUCUAGAUUAGCUAAAAUUUUUCUUAGCUUAAUUUUAGGUUUUUGUUUCUUGAGCGAUUUGCGAUAUGGUUGCCCAUUUGCUUACUAGGGAAGCCGUAUUCAAGCUAAGUUGUGGUUUUUUUUUUUUUUUUUUUUUUUUUUUUUUUUUUUUUUUUUUUUUUUUUUUUUUUUUUUUUUUUUUUUUUUUUUUUGAGAACAGGUUGUGUUGUUCUUGUUCUUGAUUUUCCUCCUCCCCUGUUGAGGAUAUGAUCUACUGGUUUCUAAUCUAAAUUAAUGUUAUGACGGCUUUUGUUUUUCCAUAAUUUGAUUAUGAAUUGGAGGUGAAGGGUGGAACCACCAACUUUCUAUUUAACAAAAA